rnacentral:rRNA from 1 species
AAACAUAGCCCUAAGAAUUAAUUUAGGGUAAGAUCUGCCCAAUGAAAAUAAUUAAAUGGCCGCGGUACUCUGACCGUGCUAAGGUAGCAUAAUCAGUUGACUUUUAAAUGAAGUCUGGAAUGAAGGAGGAAACGGAAUUCAGCUGUCUCAAUUUCCUUUAAUUUUAAGUUACUAAUUAGGUGAAAAGGCCUAAAAACGAUAAAAGACGAGAAGACCCUAAGAGUUUGAUCAAAAGUUUUGUUGGGGCAACAAGGGAUCAAAAAUCUUGAAAAAUAUCCUGAGAAUUAGAUGCGACGGUGUUAUCAUGAAUAGAUAAACUACCUUAGGGAUAACAGCAUAAUUCUAUAAUUGAGUUUGUGACCUCGAUGUUGGACUAGGAAGCCUUUAGGCUAGCUGCCUAAACAGGGGAUUCUGUUCGAAUUAUUACUCCUACGUGAUCUGAGU